UAUGCACACACUAAGGCCUCCAACAAUAACUGUUGACUUUAUUUUCAGACAGAGAAGCCUGGCAACCAGGAACUGGUUUUUUGGUGAUUUACAAGAACUUAACUGAAUUGGAAAAUAUUUGCUUUAAUGAAACAAUUUACUCUUGUGCAACGCUAAAUUGUGUCAAUCAAGCAAAUAAGGAAGAAAGUCUUAUUUAUAAAAUUGCCUGCUCCUGAUUUUACUUCAUUGCUUCUCAGGCUCCAAGAAGGGGGAAGAAAAAUGAAGAUUUUGAUACUUGGUAUUUUUCUGUUUUUAUAUAGUACCCCAGCCUGGGCGAAAGAAAAGCAUUAUUACAUUGGAAUUAUUGAAACGGCUUGGAAUUAUGCCUCUGACCAUGGGGAAAAGAAACUUAUUUCUGUUGACACGGAACAUUCCAGUAUCUAUCUUCAAAAUGGCCCAGAUAGAAUUGGGAAAGUAUAUAAGAAGGCCAUUUAUGUUCAGUACACAGAUGAAACCUUUAGGACAACUAUAGAAAAACCACUCUGGCUCGGGUUUUUAGGCCCUAUUAUUAAAACUGAAACUGGAGAUAAAGUUUAUGUACACUUAAAAAACCUCGCCUCUAGGCCCUACACCUUUCAUUCACAUGGGAUAACUUACUAUAAGGAACAUGAGGGGGCCAUCUACCCUGAUAACACCACAGGUUUUCAAAGAGCAGAUGACAAAGUAUUUCCAGGAGAGCAGUAUACAUACAUGUUGCUUGCCACUGAAGAACAAAGUCCUGGUGAGGGAGAUGGCAAUUGCGUGACUAGGAUUUACCAUUCCCACAUUGAUGCUCCUAAAGAUAUUGCCUCAGGACUCAUCGGACCUUUAAUAAUCUGUAAAAAAGAUUCUCUAGACAAAGAAAAAGAAAAAAAUAUUGACCAAGAAUUUGUGGUGAUGUUUUCUGUGGUGGAUGAAAAUCUCAGCUGGUACCUAGAAGACAACAUUAAAACCUACUGCUUAGAACCAGAGAAAGUUGAGAAAGACAAUGAAGACUUCCAGGAGAGUAACAGAAUGUAUUCUGUGAAUGGAUACACUUUCGGAAGUCUCCCAGGACUCUCCAUGUGUGUUGAAGACAGAGUGAAAUGGUACCUUUUUGGUAUGGGUAAUGAAGUUGAUGUGCACGCAGCUUUCUUUCAUGGGCAAGCAUUGACCAACAAAAACUACCAUAUUGACACAAUCAACCUCUUUCCUGCUACCCUGUUUGAUGCUUUUAUGGUGGCUCAGAACCCUGGAGAAUGGAUGCUCAGCUGUCAGAAUCUAAACCAUCUGAAAGCUGGUUUGCAAGCCUUUUUUCAGGUCCAGGAGUGUAACAAGUCUUCAUCAAAGGAUAAUAACCAUGGGAACCAUGUUAGACACUACUACAUUGCCGCUGAGGAAAUCAUCUGGAACUAUGCUCCCUCUGGUAUAGACAUCUUCACCAAAGAAAACUUAACAGCACCUGAAAGUGACUCAAAGGUGUUUUUUGAACAAAGUCCCACAAGAAUUGGAGGCUCUUAUAAAAAGCUGGUUUAUCGUGAGUACACAGAUGCCUCCUUCACAAAUCGAAAGGUGAGAGGCCCUGAAGAAGAGCAUCUUGGCAUCCUCGGUCCUGUCAUUUGGGCAGAGGUAGGAGACACGAUCAGAGUAACCUUCCAUAACAAAGGGGAAUAUCCCCUCAGUAUUGAGCCAAUUGGGGUGAGAUUCAGUAAGAACAACGAGGGCACACACUACUCCUCACAUUACAAGACCCAGAGUGGAAGUGUGCCUUCUUCAGCCUCCCAUGUGGCACCCACAGGAACAUUCACCUAUGAAUGGACAGUCCCUGAAGAAGUAGGACCCACUUAUGCAGAUCCUGUAUGUCUAGCUAAGAUGUAUUAUUCUGCUGUGGAUCCCACUAAAGAUAUAUUCACUGGGCUUAUUGGACCAAUGAAAAUAUGCAAGAAAGGAAGUUUACAUGCAAAUGGGAGACAGAAAGAUGUAGACAAGGAGUUCUAUUUGUUUCCUACAGUAUUUGAUGAGAAUGAGAGUUUACUCCUGGAGGAUAAUAUUAGAAUGUUUACAACUGCACCUGAUCAGGUGGAUAAGGAAGAUGAAGACUUUCAGGAAUCUAAUAAGAUGCACUCCAUGAAUGGAUUCAUGUAUGGGAAUCAGCCUGGUCUCAGUAUGUGCAAAGGAGAUUCAGUUGUGUGGUACUUAUUCAGCGCUGGAAAUGAGGCCGAUGUACAUGGGAUAUACUUUUCAGGAAACACAUAUCUGUGGAGAGGAGAACGGAGAGACACAGCAAACCUCUUCCCCCAAACAAGUCUUACGCUCCUCAUGUGGCCUGACACAGAGGGGACUUUUAAUGUUGAAUGCCUUACAACUGAUCACUACACAGGCGGCAUGAAGCAAACAUAUACUGUGAAAAAAUGCAGACAGCAGUCUGAGGAUUCUACCUUCUACCUGGGAGAGAAGACAUACUACAUUGCAGCAGUGGAGGUGGAAUGGGAUUAUUCCCCACAAAGGAAGUGGGAAAAGGAGCUGCAUCAUUUACAAGAGCAAAAUGUUUCCAAUGCAUUUUUAGAUAAGGAAGAGUUUUACAUAGGCUCAAAGUACAAGAAAGUUGUGUAUCGACAGUAUACUGAUAGUACGUUCAGUGUUCCAGUGGAGAGAAAAGCAGAAGAAGAACAUCUGGGAAUUCUAGGUCCACAACUUCAUGCAGAUGUUAAAGACAAAGUCAACAUUAUCUUUAAAAACAUGGCCACGAGACCCUACUCAAUACAUGCCCAUGGGGUACAAACGGAGAGUUCUACAGUUAUUCCAACAUUACCAGGUGAAACUCGAACUUACGUAUGGAAAAUCCUAGAAAGAUCUGGAGCUGGAGAAGAGGAUUCUGCUUGUAUUCCAUGGGCUUACUAUUCAACUGUGGAUCAGGUUAAGGAUCUCUACAGUGGAUUAAUUGGCCCACUGAUUGUUUGUCGAAAACAUUACUUGAAAGUGUUCAAUCCCAGGAAGAAACUGGAAUUUGUCCUUCUGUUUCUAGUUUUUGAUGAGAAUGAAUCUUGGUACUUAGAUGACAACAUCAAAACAUAUUCUGAUCACCCUGAGAAAGUAAACAAAGAUGAUGAGGAAUUCAUAGAAAGCAAUAAAAUGCAUGCUAUUAAUGGAAGAAUGUUUGGAAACCUACAAGGCCUCACAAUGCAUGUGGGAGAUGAGGUCAACUGGUAUCUUAUGGGAAUGGGCAAUGAAAUAGACUUACACACUGUACAUUUUCAUGGCCAUAGCUUCCGAUACAAGCACAGGGGCAUUUAUAGUUCUGAUGUCUUUGACAUUUUCCCUGGAACAUACCAAACCCUAGAAAUGUUUCCAAGAACACCUGGAAUCUGGUUACUCCACUGCCAUGUGACUGACCACAUUCAUGCUGGAAUGGAAACAACUUACACCGUUCUACAAAAUAAAGCAUCUUCUGAGACUCACAGGAGAAUAUGGAAUGUAAUCUAUCCAAUCACAGUCAGUGUGAUUAUUUUAUUGCAAAUAUCUACCAAGGAAUGACCAGGAGAAUAAGGUUUCACCAUGUUGGCCAGGCUGGUCUCAAACUCCUGAUCUCAGAUCCUCUGAUGUUCUUAAUGGUGUGGUGUCAGGAGGCUGCCUCUUAGACAAUCUCCAGAUGUACUGUGAUGUGAGCUUGAAAAAGAGUUCCUGAAGUAACACAUCUGGGAGACAUGCCACUAUCUGAGCUUCCCAAAAGUCUACCAAGAGCUGAGGUGUUGUAUCUUCAUCCUUAGCACAAAGCACCUUGAAAACAGUAAAAGAAGCCUAUAUAUUACAGAUAAAUACAGCACUGAUAAAGCAACAGCUGGGCUGAAUAUCAUAUCAUCACAUGGGCCGUGUAAUUAAUAAUUUACCAUUAGCAUUAGUGCCAUGGCAAAAGCAAAUUUAGGCAUUUUAAAAGGAAACAGAUUCUAGGUUGUACAAAUAAAGUUUUUCCAGAUAUAGUCUUUUAAUACUUUUAUCUUAUGAACUAAUUAUGUAUUUCUGUUUUUUCAAUAAACAAACAAAUGAAAAA